rnacentral:piRNA from 1 species
AGAAAGGAUGAAUAGAACAAUCAAGG